AGACAAAGAAGUCAAAGUAAGUGAAAGUCUCAGUGUGACACAAUCUGCUGAUGUGAGUCACCGUGGAUGCAAGGAGAGCACUGGAAAUGUUAAUACUGUCCAAACCAGUGUCUUUGACUUGAAUAUAGUUAAAAACCUCACUCGUGCUGAAAUAGCAGCAAUUAGACUCCCUGAAGUGGUGUUCAUUGCAGAGAAAGAUGUUGUGCUUGUUCAAAUGGCAGAACUAGACAUGAGUGACCCCACCCUUGCCACUCAGCACCCCUCUGAAGCCACAGUACAGUAUGCAUUGAGCUUGCUAGCACCUGCAACAGCUACUGGUAACAGUAGUGUGGCAGUUGACAGUGAUGAAGAAGGGAAUGAAGUGAACGUGACAACUGGUAGACUGAGUACCUACACAAAGAAAUCGCUCCAGGUUUUCAAAAAAAUGUGCAAAAUGAGGAAAAGAGGUGGCUUUCUCAACCUUGUGUUCCAGAUGUAACCAAGGUCAUAGAACUUCUUCUAAAUGCAAGGCCUCAUGAUGAGGUUAUAAGACAUGGUCAGUUCAUAAUGGAUGUUUCUGAUCUGAGUACAUUGGUUUGCGAACGCUACAUCAAUGGGUUAUCUAUUGAUGUCAUUUCUUUGAAGGUAGUUGAGAAAAGUGAGCCCACAAGUGUCAUUUACCUUCCCUCCUUCUGUCAGAUGUGGGCAAAACAAGGUGUGGAAUACUUCAAGCACAAAGUCAUCCCCUUCGUUGAAAAUUGUCGAGCUAAAGAUGCAACCUGCAUUUUAACCCCAGUACAUUUUGAAAGUCCACUACACUGGGGACUGCUUUGCUUUGAUGUUACGACUAAAACAGUCUAUUUUGAUGACGGUUUGAAAAUUCAACCUGCCAGUGGUACCCUGUCUGUUGUUCAAAAUAUGCUGGGUGGUUUCAAGGCUUUGUCGCACGAUGCCAUUGGAUAAGAGGAUCACUGGAACAACUCUUGCUUAAGACUUCCCUUGCCAUGAUUCAACAUGCCAAUCCAGACAAAAAGUGGCAUUGGUGCUGGUAGCUGUGGAGUCGGUGUUAUCCUUGCUAUAAGAGAUAUUGUUGCAACUAGGAACUGCUUUCCCUCCUUGAACUGGGCAUUUGGCAACAUGGCGCAUUUACGGAAAGAGCUAAUGGCUCUCAUACUUCAGUGGAGAAGUGAAGAGCAAUGAAGAAGAUGGACCAUUACGUUCUCAGUGAAAACAAGAAAGUCAUCCUUUGCUUUCAGACCAGUUGCAAGUAGACUAAGAAGCAGCCCUCCAGUCCAAGGAAGACAAAACAGAAAAGGUUCAGUGACAAGAAGACAAAACAGAGAAGGUUCAGUGACAAGAAGACGAGACAGAGAAGGUUCUUUUAGAAGCCCCCGCGGAAAAA